AUUUCGGUAUCUCGGUAUUGACAUCCCAAGCAGGCGAUAGCGCCGUUAAUGUAUUGGAUGCAUGUGAAUGUCACAGAAUUGGAGCAACGAUCAUUGCAAUGGCGAGACGAUAAAAAGUAAAUAAAAAUCCUUAGUUUAAAGGCGGUUGUGGGCAGCAAAGGAAUAUUGAGUGUUCUACGAUAAGAAAAUUAUGAAUGUGAAUUACAUAAUUGAAAACCUCUUUGUGUGGGAUCGCAAACUGUAAAAUGAGUCCAAUGCUGGGGUUCAAUUCACGUUCUGCGUAAACGUGAAAUGAAAAGUUUUUUCCCGUUUUCAUUACACUUUCGACUCGAAUGCCGUGAAACAAUUAAAAGAAACGUUAAGAUGUUUUCACAUGAAAAUAACAAAGGGGAAUGAAACGAAAUCUUUUCACUUUCUCAUUUCGCACUCUGGUCGCGUGCGAAAGUGAAAACAGCUGCCAAAAUAUUUUCACAUCAAAAUUUUCCUUUCACAGAUAUUUCGUAGGAGAAAAAUGGAGAAGUAGUAGUGCUAGGAAGACAUCGGAGCACUAUCGAUACUAUCGAUGUUCGACAUUAUUUUAAACCAUCGAUUGUUUUUUUCCACUAUCGAUGUUUUGAGAAAAUUUUCCAUCUCUAUACAUUUUGUGCGUGGCUGAUUUGGAUUGAAUUUUAAUUGGUGUUGGUGCUCGGAUGGUCGCAAGGAUGGAUAAGUUCGUUGGGAACAAAACAAAGGAAAACAACAAUGCGUGCGCUGCAUGUGCAAAAACGGCUCUAACGAGGAGAGCAGCAACAAAACAAAUAAGUUUGGAAAAUCGGAAGUGUGGAAUUUUUUUAUCAAAAUGAAUGGUUCAAAUUCUAAGUGCAAAGUCUGUGGUAGGGUUUAUAAAACUUGCAAUAAUACGUCAAACCUCAGAGAUCAUCUUCGGCGAUUGCAACCGGAUAUAAAAUUAUCAGACCAUAAGUCUUCUGGCAAUAUUUUGUCUUUUAUGGAAAGAAAAUACGAUAAGAGUUCUGAUCGUACAAUAGUA